UAGGAAUCUUCCACAAUGGGCGAAAGCCUGAUGGAGCAACGCCGCGUGUGUGAUGAAGGGUUUCGGCUCGUAAAACACUGUUGUAAGAGAAGAAUGACAUUGAGAGUAACUGUUCAAUGUGUGACGGUAUCUUACCAGAAAGGAACGGCUAAAUACGUGCCAGCAG
rnacentral:rRNA from 1 species